CAAGGGUUGGGCUGUUCGCCCAUUAAAGCGGUACGCGAGCUGGGUUCAGAACGUCGUGAGACAGUUCGGUCCCUAUCCGUCGUGGGCGUAGGAAAUUUGAGAGGAGCUGUCCUUAGUACGAGAGGACCGGGAUGGACGCACCGCUGGUGUACCAGUUGUUCUGCCAAGGGCAUAGCUGGGUAGCUAUGUGCGGAAGGGAUAAGUGCUGAAAGCAUCUAAGCAUGAAGCCCCCCUCAAGAUGAGAUUUCCCAUAGCGUAAGCUAGUAAGAUCCCUGAAAGAUGAUCAGGUUGAUAGGUUCGAGGUGGAAGCAUGGUGACAUGUGGAGCUGACGAAUACUAAUAGAUCGAGGACUUAACCAUAUAA
rnacentral:rRNA from 1 species